AGGAGUUCAAAGAAUUCUAUCAAGUCUUCAAGUAUUCAUCAAGUAUCCUUCAAAUCUUCAAGAUCUUCAAGGCAAUAUUCAAGUAUCCUUCGAAUCUUCAAGUAUUUGAGCAUUCAAAUCUUCAAGUAUCCUUCGAAUCUUCAAGUAUUUGAGCGUUCAAAUCUUCAAGUAUCCUUCAAACUCUUCAAGUAUUCCUGCAAAUCUUUGAAGUGAUCUUCAAGUAUCCAAAGAAAUCAAGUUCAAGUGAUCAAGGCGUUCUUACAAAUUCCAAGAACGAUCUUCCUCAAAUCAAAUCAACCAAAUCCCAAAGCUUCAAGGCAUUCUUACAAAUUCUAAGAAUGUUCUCAAAUCAAAUCAAGUUCAA
rnacentral:lncRNA from 1 species